rnacentral:rRNA from 1 species
UACGGAGGGGUGCAAGCGUUAUCCGGAUUUACUGGGGUUUAAAAGGGGUGCGUAGGUGGGGUUUGGUAAGUCAGUGGUGAAAUACUUUCGCUUUAACGAAGGAACUGCCCAUUUGAUACUACCCAGUCUUUGAAUACAGUGGGAGGGUAGGCGGGAAAUGCGUCAUGUAGCGGUGAAAAUGCUUUAGAUAUUGACGCAGAACACCCAAUUUGCGAAAGGGCAGCUUUGCUACACUGUUUAUUUGACACUGAGGCACGAAAGCGUGGGGGAUCAAAACAGGG